rnacentral:rRNA from 1 species
GCUUAACACAUGCAAGUCGAGCGGAAACGAUGAUAGCUUGCUAUCAGGCGUCGAGCGGCGGACGGGUGAGUAACGCGUAGGAACCUACCCAGUAGUUCGGGAUAGCCCAGAGAAAUUUGGAUUAAUACCGGAUACGCCCUACGGGGGAAAGGGGGCUUCGGCUCUCGCUAUUGGAUGGGCCUGCGUGAGAUUAGCUUGUUGGUGAGGUAAGAGCUCACCAAGGCAACGAUCUCUAGCUGGUCUGAGAGGAUGAUCAGCCACACUGGGACUGAGACACGGCCCAGACUCCUACGGGAGGCAGCAGUGGGGAAUAUUGCACAAUGGGCGCAAGCCUGAUGCAGCCAUGCCGCGUGUGUGAAGAAGGCUCUAGGGUUGUAAAGCACUUUCAGCAGCGAGGAAAGCUUGUUGGUUAAUACCCAUCAAGUGUGACGUUAACUGCAGAAGAAGC